AAAAAAAACAAAUUGUUUUUCAUUUGAGAGGCAGAAAAAGAGGCAGAUAGACAGACAGACAGAGAGGCAGACAGACAGAGAUCCAUCUCUUGGUUUACUCCCAAAUACCCAUAACAGCCAGGGCUGAACCAGGUACUCAAGCCGGGUCCACCACCCGGGAAGCAGGAACCCAAUUACUUGACCCAUCACGGCUGCUUCCCAAGUCCACACGAGCCAGAGUCAGGAGCCACAGUCAGAAAUCCAGCCCAGGCACUUUUGUGUGGAACAUGAGCAUCAUAGCCACUUUUCUUUGAGGGGCAGAGAUACGGAAGGAGAGCAAGAGCGAGAGCGAGAGCAAGAGAGACUCCCAUCUGCAAGCCCAUUCCUCAAACACUGAAGCUUGGAGUUGGAGCUGGAGCUGGGAACUCGGUCCGUGUCUUCCACAUGGCCAGCGGGAACACAGCCAUUUGCGCCAUCAGGCUGCUUCUCAGGAAGCUGGAGUCAGGAGCUGGAGCCACACGUUGAACGCAACACUCCAAUAUGGGACUCUGGCAUCUCAGCUGCUAGGCUAAAUGUCUGCCCCCAGCGUAGUUUCUUUUCUUCUUCUUUUUUUUUUUAAAGAUUUAUUCAUUUUACUUGAAAGAGUUGUGGGGGGGGGCGGGAGAAUCUUCCAUCAUCUGGUUCACUCGUCAAGUGGCUGCAAUGACCAGGGCUGAGCCAUGACAAAGCCAGGAGACAGGAACUCCAGCUGGGUCUCGAACAUGGGUACAGAGACCCAAGCUGCUUUUCCCAGGCCAUUAGUUGGGAGCUGGAUUGGGAGUGGAGCAGCCAGGACACAAACAGAUGCCCAUAUGGGAUGCUGAAGAUGUAGGCAGGGAUUUUACCCGCUAUGCACAAUGCUACCCACCCCACACACACACCAAGUAUUUUUAAUGAACCAAAUACAAGCCAAAUCAAACCUUUGAGGAAAUAGUAGUAAAGUAUGUAUUGGAGCUGUUUAUGAACACUUGUAACAGUGAAAUCAUUUUGAUUUUUCUAAUCCAAAUGCCAUAAGUAAAUUAUUUUAAGAAAUGAGGGAUCCUAUAGACAAGUAGUUCUCAAAUUUGAGUAUACAUCACACAGUCACCUAGAAGACCUGGUUAAAACAUAGUUGUUAACACCUCCAAGACUUAUUAUUCAUUAAGAUUGGAACAGGCAUUCGAGAAUUUGAAUAUCUAACGAGUUACUAGGGUGAUGCUGCUAAUCCAGAGACCCAUUGCACAGACCAAAAACCUGGUUACUGAUCCAUCCUCCACCACCCAUGUGAUCCUACUUAGGAGGUAUUACCUGAGAUAUUAACCUUGGCUGCCCCAGCCCUGACAGAGUGAUGGAAAUAUUCCUCCACUGAUCUAGGCUCCAAUUUAAUCUAGUGGGAUCGUUUUCUCACUCACCGUGGGAGUGUCCGAAACUUGAUCCUGUUUUAGUUGAACUAUUCAUGAAGCUUCUGAGCUCAGUGUGGGAGUGGGGAAGGGACAGAGCUACCAACCACUCUCCUUUUGUAAGAGGGGGUUGAUAAAAAGAGGAGAGGCUGCCAAGAGAUGUGCUCAAGAGGCAGGAGACUCCUCCGACAGCAGCCAAAUCCCGCCUUGGAUAUCACUACCCUACAAGGCAUGAAUUGUGUGUGCACAAACCCCAAGCACUGAUACAGGCAAUAAUUCAUGAAUAUGACGCAUCUGAUACAUGUGAGGAGGUAGCUGCUGCUGGAUGACAGUAACGAGGUGCAUCUCUCCAUGGAAGAUUCAAGCCUGGCUAGCAGUGUGGACGUGGACAAAGGCUUUGCCAUCGCCUUUGUUGUUCUUCUGUUUCUAUUCCUAAUAGUGAUGAUCUUUCGGUGUGCCAAGUUGGUGAAGAAUCCCUAUGAGGCCACCUCCACCACCGCAGAAUCAUCUCUGAGCUGAAGUAUUAAGCCUGGUGGACCCCUUCUCACCGGAGAUCUGGAAGCUUUUAUAUAGACUUUUAUGAUCCAAACUUUGUAUUAUUUCACCUCCCUGUUUCUCAGCCUUCUCAGUCUUGCAUUCCACAAUGGGCACAUGAGAGUGAGUCAAGAAUAAUAAGAGGAAAUGAAAUACAAGCCAGUUUGCAUUGUUCCUCUUCAGGGAAAUGGUUACAAAAAUGGGUCAAAGACAGGUUGAACUUAUUGGCCCGAGUGAGGCCAUGAGUUUCAAUUCUCUGGUAUCUAAUGUCCUUAGGAUGGGACAGUGGGUCAUAAUUUUAUGAUGCAAUGUAACAAUAUAUCAUGUUUGGUAAGGCCCAUUUAAACUAGCUUACCCAGGGUAAGACGUGAAUGGUUCCUUUACCUGAUAAAAAAAUAAAAUCAGCAGUGCCCUAUGACAAGAGUCUACCAAAACCUUUCUAGCAUGAGAAGUUUUGCAAAUUCCACUAUUCUCAAGUGAGUAGAGCUCUAUAGUAGAAGAGAAUGAAAUUUGUCUCGGAUGAAUCCCAUAAUUUCUCUCUGCUCAAAUAUCGUCCUCUAUAAAAUACCAUGUAUUGAGUUGAAUCUGGACUCCAGAACCUAAGAAUGUCAACUUAUUUGGAAAACAAUCUUUGCAGAUAUAAUUACGAACCUUAAGGUAAUUGAGCCUUGGGGUAGGUAUUUGGCCCAGUGGUUAAGAUACCUGUAUCACACAGCAAAGUGCCUGGGUUUGAUACUUGGCCCUAGCUCCAACUUCAGCUCCUGACUCCAGCUUCCCGCUAAUGUAGGCCCUGGGAAGCAGUGGUGAUAGCUGCCACCCAUGUGGGAGACCUAGAUAAUAUUCCUGACUCCCAUCCUCAGCCCCAGCCAAACCCUGCCACUUUAGGCAUUUGGGGAGCAAGCCAGCAGAUGGGGGAGCACUCUCCUCUUCCUGCUAAUUCCUUCCUCUCUCUCUGCUUCUCAAAUGAAUAAAAAUAUACUCAUCCUAGGUUGUCUAGGUGAUCCCUAAAUCCAAUGAAAGUAUCCUUGUUAAGGAAGGGGAGGGGAAGGGAGGGGAGGGGAGGGGAGGGAAAAGAGGGGCUGGAGUUGCCGAUCAGCAGGUUAAGCUGCCACUUUAGACGCUGGCAUCCCAUAUCAGAACUCCCGUUUGAGUCUCAACGCUCUACUUCUCAUCCAGCAUUUCUGCUAAUGCGCCCAAGAAGGUAGCAGAUGAAGGUCCCAAUACUUGGUCCCCUGGCACUCAUGUUGCAAACCGGUAUGGCGUUCUGGAUUUGCUUUGACCUCACCCAGCCCUGGCUGGUGCAGCCAUUUGGGGAGAGAGCGCUUUCUUUCUCUUUCUCACUCUUCCAUUCAAAUAUAUAAGUGAACAAAUCUUUUAAAAGCAUAAAAGAGGAGAAGAUACAGGGAGACAGGGGGAACGGCCAUGUGAAUAUGGAGGCAGAGAUUGGACUGAUGCAGCCCCAAGUGAUGGAACCUGUGCCCAGAACCACCAGAAACAGCCUUUGGUGACCAUACAGCUAACACCUUAAGUUUGGAUCUCUAGUAUCCAGAAACAUGAGAGAACAAAUUUCUGUUGCUUCGAACCUCCCAGUGUGUAAUUUGCUAUGGCAGUCCCUGGAAGCUGUUGCAUAAUAUGUUAUGAUCACAGAGAUCAUCAGUCCAGGGACCUUUAAAGAGAAAAGAGAAGGAAAUCAU